rnacentral:rRNA from 1 species
UAUGUUCUUCGUGAACAUGGCGUACUGCUCAGUAACACGUGGAUAACCUGCCCUUGGGUCCGGCAUAACCCCGGGAAACUGGGGAUAAUUCCGGAUAACGCACAUAUGCUGGAAUGCUUUAUGCGUCAAAUGGAUUCGUCUGCCCAAGGAUGGGUCUGCGGCCUAUCAGGUAGUAGUGGGUGUAAUGUACCUACUAGCCGACGACGGGUACGGGUUGUGAGAGCAAGAGCCCGGAGAUGGAUUCUGAGACAUGAAUCCAGGCCCUACGGGGCGCAGCAGGCGCGAAAACUUUACAAUGCGGGAAACCGUGAUAAGGGGACACCGAGUGCCAGCAUCAUAUGCUGGCUGUCCGGGUGUGUAAAAUACACCUGUUAGCAAGGGCCGGGCAAGACCGGUGCCAGCCGCCGCGGUAACACCGGCGGCCCGAGUGGUGAUCGUGAUUAUUGGGUCUAAAGGGUCCGUAGCCGGUUUGGUCAGUCCUCCGGGAAAUCUGACGGCUUAACCGUUAGGCUUUCGGAGGAUACUGCCAGGCUUGGAACCGGGAGAGGUAAGAGGUACUACAGGGGUAGGAGUGAAAUCUUGUAAUCCCUGUGGGACCACCUGUGGCGAAGGCGUCUUACCAGAACGGGUUC